ACCUCGGUGGUGUAAUGGUAGCACGCGGUCCCAGUAUGGAUGAAACACGAGCUCGACUCCCGUCUGAGAUC